AGCGUAAAUGGGUGGUAACAAGAGGAGGCAGAGUGGGAGCCGAAUGGGAUGUGAGAAAAUGGAAGAAUGAGAUAGACAAAGAAGUGAAAUGUGUGGGACUGAAUGAAUGGAAGAAUGAAAUGGAAAGAAAGAAGACCCUGGAAUGGUACAAGGAGAAAGAGGCCCCGAGGUAUGAAAGGUGGUAUGAUGGAAUCCUGGGCGGUGAUCUUCUCUUCCGAGCGAGGGCACAGUGUAUGGAUGUGGAAUGCAAGGAGUAACAGGUGGUCUGAGUCCCGCAGCAAAGUGUGCCAGAUGUGUGACAUGGGAGAGGAUGAGACGGUGGAACAUGUGGUGCUGGAGUGUGUGAAAUAUGCCAGAGACAGGAAUGAGAUGAUGCAAGUGAUACUGACUGAGUUAGGGCAUGAUAGGAAUGAAAGAGUGGAGAAGACAGGAAAGGAAUGGACUGUGUAGAGAGGCAAAUGAAAGGAUGAUUGAGGCGGUGGAAAGAGUUUCUGGAGAGAAUGUGGCGUGCCAGGUGUAUGAACAAUUAGGAUAGAGGAUGCUGUUCGUUUCUCUUUUUUUUUUUUUUUUCCCCUUUGUACAGGGGUUUGCCGAUCCAAAGGCCUGGCUCAAGAGUGAUCCUGUGCCGCCUGUACCAUCAAGAUCAAGAUCAAGAUCAGAUGGUGAGUCUGCUUACAAAAUUGCAUCGUAGGGAUUGAUAGGGGCAGCCACAAUUAUCCAUCAUCAUCAGCGACACCAUGCUCUGCGACACCAUGGCUCUUGAGAAGACAGACAGACCCUGAUGACAGCGUGGUGAGCGAGGAGGGGGAGUCAACCAGCAGAGUAGGGAAGCAUGACCCCUACUUUGAACCAGUGGUGACCUUGCUGGAGGUCUUCGUGGUUAGUGAUGACUGACCAGGAGGAGGAAAUGAUAAGACUGAGUUUCGAGGUCAGGUCAGGCAGUACAAGCUGUUUCAUUAUCACACCUCUGAGUCGCCCCCACAGUGGAAGGAACGGGGCAUGGGGGCCAUUAACAUUCUGAGGAACAAGCAGAAGGCUGUGGAGUUUGUUCAGCGGCAGAAUUAAUGCCAGUGGCUGAGUUCGGAUCCUCCAAGACACACACACACACACACACACACACACAGCAGCCCCUCCACCUCCCCACAGCCCUCCACAGCCCCUGACACAGCAUCUAACACAGCCCCUUCACAGAACACCACAUACCUCACACAUACAUAAGAACAUAAGAACAUAAGAAAUAAGGGGAAGCUGCAAGAAGCGACCAGGCUUACACGUGGCAGUCCCUGUAUGAAACACACCUACCUAUUUCCAUCUGCUAUCCCCAUCCAUAAACUUGUCUAAUCUUUCUCUUAAAGCUCUCUAGUGUCCUAGCACUAACAACAUGAUUACUGAGUCCGUUCCACUCAUCUACCACUCUUUUUGAGAACAAAUUUUUUCCUAUCUCCAUCCUAAACCCAAAUUUUUCAAGCUUGUACCCAUUAUUUCUUGUUCUACCCUGGUUGCUGAUCCUAAGAAUUUUGCCUACAUCCCCCUUGUUAUAACCCUUAUACCACUCAAAGACUUCUAUCAGGUCCCCUCUUAACCUACGUAUCUCUAAAGAAUGUAAAUUUAACAGCUUCAACCUCGCCUCGUAAGGAAUACUCCUCAUCCCCUGUAUCCUUUUAGUCAUUCUCCUCUGUACUGAUUCUAAUAGACCUAUAUCUUUCCUGUAAUGUGGGGACCAGAACUGCACAGCGUAGUCUAGAUGAGGUCUGACCAGCGCCAAGUAUAACUUUAAUACUACUUCCGGCCUUCUACUUUUAACACUCCUAAAAAAUCCCACACACCACAGGAGCCUCACAAACAGUCUGACAGCCUUCACAAGCAGCCCCACACUCCACCACAGACACGCCAGACCCACAGCCCUUCACCUCACCCACUUCCCAGCCCCCCACAAGCCCCCCAGCCACCACAAAUGAAGUCAAAGGAAGGGACUGUGGCUUCACCCAGCCAGCCAGGACAGCCUACAGAGAGGGGGUAGUCCCAGUCAAGUCACAAAAUAUAGGCUUGGUUCUUCCUACAGUUUGAAGUCAAUGAUUGGACAGGUGGUAACACGGAGAGGAAGUGGAAGAAAGCUUGGGACGCUCCCAUAACUCAGGAGCAAGAAAUACACCUUACUGGAAACCUUGUGACUGACAGGUGGCGGUGACUGCAGGAACCAAUUCAGAUGUCUGUCUUGUGUUGGCGAACGUCCUGUCUGCAGUCAGGCCAGUAGUGCCAUGUCGCAGGGUGUGACAUCAGGUGAAGAGCCAAAUGGAGAGUGUCUGCAGCCAGUACUGGGUGUGCUGAUGCUGUACAAGUGUCGAGCCAGGUGCCACAGCACAUGACUCCACCAGUGUAGUGUCUCUAGUCCAGGAUGCACUGCUGUGUACGACUUGUAUGUCUUUAUAAAUUUGUGACUAUUCUUAUUAUAUAUGUGAAAUAAAUAUAUAGUUUGCUAACAGUGUGGUAUAAUAGUGUAAAAAUAAAUAUUUGAUAACAAUUCAUGCAUGCCCCAAAGGUAAAAAAAAAAAAACAGGAUUGUGCCCUCUAAACUUUUAAGAUACCACUUGCACAUAGAAGCCCCAUCGCAGCGACUCCAGUGUCGGCUGGGAUGGGGCUUCUAUGUGCAAAUGGUAUCUUAAACUUAGUUUAGUAGCCAAUCCUGACUUUUUUUUUUUUUUUUACCUUGGGGGCAUGACCUGUACUCCCAGAAAGACUUUGCCAAAGAUAUUAUUGACAUGGCAUAAAUAACUAUCAUUGUUUUUUUUACCUUGAGGGCAUGACCUGUACUCCCAGAAAGACUAUUUGCCAAAGAUAUUAUUGACAUGGCAUAAAUAACUAUCAUUAUGUUCAAGAUGGUAUACUGAAUGUUUAUUGUUUUAAUGUGAAUGUUAAGUGAAUAAAUACACAACAAUAAUAUAAA